CCAGACUCCUACGGGAGGCAGCAGUCGGGAAUAUUGCGCAAUGGAGGAAACUCUGACGCAGUGACGCCGCGUAUAGGAAGAAGGUUUUCGGAUUGUAAACUAUUGUCGUUAGGGAAGAUAAAAGACUGUACCUAAGGAGGAAGCCCCGGCUAACUAUGUGCCAGCAGCCGCGGUAAUACGGAGGAUGCGAGCGUUAUCCGGAUUUAUUGGGUUUAAAGGGUGCGCAGGCGGAAGAUCAAGUCAGCGGUAAAAUUGAGAGGCUCAACCUCUUCGAGCCGUUGAAACUGGUUUUCUUGAGUGAGCGAGAAGUAUGCGGAAUGCGUGGUGUAGCGGUGAAAUGCAUAGAUAUCACGCAGAACUCCGAUUGCGAAGGCAGCAUACCGGCGCUCAACUGACGCUCAUGCACGAAAGUGUGGGUAUCGAACAGGAUUAGAUACCCGCGUAA
rnacentral:rRNA from 1 species